ACCUACGGGACGCAGCAGUAGGGAAUAUUGCACAAUGGGGGAAACCCUGAUGCAGCGACGCCGCGUGAAGGAUGAAGUAUUUCGGUAUGUAAACUUCUAUCAGCAAGGAAGAAAAUGACGGUACUUGACUAAGAAGCCCCGGCUAAAUACGUGCCAGCAGCCGCGGUAAUACGUAUGGGGCAAGCGUUAUCCGGAUUUACUGGGUGUAAAGGGAGCGUAGGCGGCCUGGCAAGCCUGAUGUGAAAUACCGGGGCCCAACCCCGGGGCUGCAUUGGGAACUGCCAGGCUGGAGUGCCGGAGAGGCG
rnacentral:rRNA from 1 species